GAUGAACGCUGGCGGUCUGCUUAACACAUGCAAGUCGAACGGGCUCUUCGGAGCUAGUGGCGGACGGGUGAGUAACGCGUGAGAAUCUGCCUUCAGGAGGGGGAUAACGACUGGAAACGGUCGCUAAUACCCCAUAUGCCUCCGGGUGAAAAGUAAUUCGCCUGAAGAUGAGCUCGCGUCAGAUUAGCUAGUUGGGGGGGUAAGAGCCUACCAAGGCGACGAUCUGUAGCUGGUCUGAGAGGAUGACCAGNCACACUGGGACUGAGACACGGNCCAGACUCCUACGGGAGGCAGCAGUGGGGAAUUUUCCGCAAUGGGCGCAAGCCUGACGGAGCAAGACCGCGUGGGGGAUGACGGCCUAAUGGUUGUAAACCCCUUUUCUCUGGGAAGGAGACUGACGGUAACCAGAGGAAUCA
rnacentral:rRNA from 1 species